rnacentral:rRNA from 1 species
CACGUAGGGGGCGAGCGUUGUCCGGAUUUAUUGGGCGUAAAGAGCUCGUAGGCGGCUCAGAAAGUCGGGUGUGAAACCUCCAGGCUCAACCUGGAGACGCCACCUGAUACUGCUGUGGCUAGAGUCCGGUAGGGGAACACGGAAUUCCCGGUGUAGCGGUGAAAUGCUUAGAUAUCGGGAGGAACACCAGUGGCGAAGGCGGUGUUCUGGGCCGGAACUGACGCUGAGGAGCGAAAGCGUGGGUAGCAAACAGG